rnacentral:tRNA from 1 species
GCCCGAGUGGCGGAAUGGUAGACGCAGCGGAUUCAAAAUCCGCCGGUAGCGAUACCGUGCGAGUUCGACUCUCGCCUCGGGCACCA